rnacentral:rRNA from 1 species
UACAGAGGUCUCAAGCGUUGUUCGGAUUCAUUGGGCGUUAAAGGGUGCGUAGGCGGCGCGGUAAGUCGGGAUGUGAAAUCUCGGAGCUUAACUCCGAAACUGCAUUCGAUACUGCCGUGCUUGAGGACUGGAGAGGAGACUGGAAUUUACGGUGUAGCUGGUGAAAUGCGUAGAUAAUCGUAAGGAAGACCAGUGGCGAAAGGCGGGUCUCUGGACAGUUCCUGACGCUGAGGCACGAAGGCCAGGGGAGCAAACGGG